rnacentral:lncRNA from 1 species
AGUCUGGGAUUAGAUGGCGAUUGAGCUUUAGUUCAGAUAGUUCUGGAUACGUGAGGCGUGGAGUGUACACAAAAGUAGUCUGUUGAUAUGGGACUACGGCAUGUAUAGAUGCGAGCAGGAAGGACUCAUUUUAUGUGAGUAUCCUACUGCGGCCCUGAUUGGCACAGUCCCAGCAGAUGACUGCUAGUAGUGUAACUCAGCCUGUAGCUCUAGCCAUGUCACAGGACAGUGGUUGAUGCAGG